UACGGAGGGAGCAAGCGUUACUCGGAAUUAUUGGGCGUAAAGGGCGCGUAGGCGAUUCGAAAAGUCAACUGUGAAAGCCCAGGGCCUAACCCUGGAAGUGCAGCUGAUACUGUUGAAUUUGAGUUCCGGAGAGGAAGGCAGAAUUCCCGGUGUAGCGGUGAAAUGCGUAGAUAUCGGGAGGAAUACCAGUGGCGAAGGCGGCCUUCUGGACGGAUACUGACGCUGAGGCGCGAAAGCCAGGGGAGCGAACGGG
rnacentral:rRNA from 1 species